UACGGGGGGAGCAAGCGUUGUUCGGAUUUACUGGGUGUAAAGGGCGCGUAGGCGGUCAGCACAAGUCAGUUGUGAAAUCUCCGGGCUUAACUCGGAAAGGUCAACUGAUACUGUGCGACUAGAGUGCAGAAGGGGCAACUGGAAUUCUCGGUGUAGCGGUGAAAUGCGUAGAUAUCGAGAGGAACACCUGCGGCGAAGGCGGGUUGCUGGGCUGACACUGACGCUGAUGCGCGAAAGCGUGGGGAGCAAACGGG
rnacentral:rRNA from 1 species